AAUAUUGCACAAUGGGGGAAACCCUGAUGCAGCCAUGCCGCGUGUGUGAAGAAGGCCUUCGGGUUGUAAAGCACUUUCAGUAGGGAGGAAAGGUUGACGGUUAAUACCCGUUAGCUGUGACGUUACCUACAGAAGAAGGACCGGCUAACUCCGUGCCAGCAGCCGCGGUAAUACGGAGGGUCCGAGCGUUAAUCGGAAUUACUGGGCGUAAAGCGUGCGCAGGCGGUUUGUUAAGCGAGAUGUGAAAGCCCCGGGCUCAACCUGGGAAUUGCAUUUUGAACUGGCAAACUAGAGUCUUGUAGAGGGGGGUAGAAUUUCAGGUGUAGCGGUGAAAUGCGUAGAGAUCUGNAGGAAUACCGGUGGCGAAGGCGGCCCCCUGGACAAAGACUGACGCUCAUGCACGAAAGCGUGGGGAGCAAACAGGAUUAGAUACCCUGGUAGUCCACGCCGUAAACGAUGUCUACUCGGAGUUUGGUGUCUUGAACACUGGGCUCUCAACGCUAACGCA
rnacentral:rRNA from 1 species